AUGGGAAGGGCUCUCGGGUCAGAGUUGUGUGUGCCCCGACACCAGCUGUGGGUGACGGCGUAUCACCCGGAACACUACUUCAUCUUCUUCAACCAGCCGGCACAUCAUGACAACGCCGUCAGGCAUGGCUCCAUUCGGGUCGACGACAUCGUCUUCAAGAUCGCAUUGUGGCACGAGCAAGACCACGUGGCUUUCGACAUAUUCAACUUCCACGUCAGGGUCGUCGUCGUGAAGGUGUCGAUGCAGUAUUGGUCUCUGGAAGAUGUGAAGGACAUCCUCGGGCGCAAGGUGCACGUGGACCGCCUUGAAAGCUAG
rnacentral:rRNA from 1 species